GACGAACGCUGGCGGCGUGCUUAACACAUGCAAGUCGAACGGAAAGGCCCUGCUUUUGUGGGGUGCUCGAGUGGCGAACGGGUGAGUAACACGUGAGUAACCUGCCCUUGACUUUGGGAUAACUUCAGGAAACUGGGGCUAAUACCGGAUAGGAGCUCCUGCUGCAUGGUGGGGGUUGGAAAGUUUCGGCGGUUGGGGAUGGACUCGCGGCUUAUCAGCUUGUUGGUGGGGUAGUGGCUUACCAAGGCUUUGACGGGUAGCCGGCCUGAGAGGGUGACCGGACACAUUGGGACUGAGAUACGGCACAGACUCGUACGGGAGGCAGCAGUGGAGAAUAUUGCACAAUGGGCGGAAGCCUGAUGCAGCACAGCCGCGUGCGGGAUGACGGCCUUCGGGUUGUAAACCGCUUUCGCCUGUGACGAAGCGUGAGUGACGGUAAUGGGUAAAGAAGCACCGGCUAACUACGUG
rnacentral:rRNA from 1 species